rnacentral:rRNA from 1 species
UGGGGAAUAUUGCACAAUGGGGGAAACCCUGAUGCAGCGACGCCGCGUGAACGAAGAAGGUAUUCGUAUCGUAAAGUUCUGUCCUAUGGGAAGAUAAUGACAGUACCAUAGAAGAAAGCUCCGGCUAAAUACGUGCCAGCAGCCGCGGUAAUACGUAUGGAGCGAGCGUUGUCCGGAAUUAUUGGGCGUAAAGGGUACGCAGGCGGUUUAAUAAGUCGAAUGUUAAAGAUCGGGGCUCAACCCCGCAAAGCAUUGGAAACUGAUAAACUUGAGUAGUGGAGAGGAAAGUGGAAUUCCUAGUGUAGUGGUGAAAUACGUAGAUAUUAGGAGGAAUACCAGUAGCGAAGGCGACUUUCUGGACACAAACUGACACUGAGGUACGAAAGCGUGGGGAGCAAACAGG